AGUGAACGCUGGCGGCGUGCUUAACACAUGCAAGUCGAACGAGAACGGAAUAUAGCUUGCUAUAUUUGUCAGCUAAGUGGCGCACGGGUGAGUAAUGUAUAGAUAACCUGCCCUUAAGAAAGGAAUAACAGUUGGAAACGACUGCUAAUGCCCUAUAUGCCUUUAAUACAUAAGUAUGCAAGGGAAACGCUUUAGUGCUAGAGGAUGGGUCUGUAUGGUAUCAGCUUGUUGGUGAGGUAAUGGCUCACCAAGGCUAUGACGCCUAACUGGUUUGAGAGGAUGAUCAGUCACACUGGAACUGAGACACGGUCCAGACUCCUACGGGAGGCAGCAGUGGGGAAUAUUGAACAAUGGACGAAAGUCUGAUGCAGCAACGCCGCGUGGAGGAUGACACAUUUCGGUGCGUAAACUCCUUUUAUAUAGGAAGAUAAUGACGGUACUAUAUGAAUAAGCACCGGCUAACUCCGUGCCAGCAGCCGCCGUAA
rnacentral:rRNA from 1 species